rnacentral:misc_RNA from 1 species
GAUGAAGAACGCAGUGAAAUGCGAUACGUAAUGUGAAUUGCAGAUUUCAGUGAAUCAUCGAAUCUUUGAACGCACAUUGCGCCCGCUAGUAUUCUGGCGGGCAUGCCUGUUCGAGCGUCAUUUCAACCAUCAAGCCCUAGGCUUGCGUUGGAGCCCUGCGGCUGCCGCAGGCUCCCAAAUCCAAUGGCGGGCUCGUCGUCGUACCGAGUGCAGUAAACAUCCUCGCUCAGGGAACGUGACGGGUUCUUGCCGUGAAACCCCCCACAUAUCAAGGUUGACCUCGGAUCAGGUAGGAAUACCCGCUGAACUUAAGCAUAUCAAUAAGCGGAGGA